CGUCUAUAUACGUAUAGCAUAUCAAUAAGCGGAGGAAAAGAAACUAACAAGGAUUCCCUUAGUAACGGCGAGUGAAGCGGGAAGAGCUCAAAUUUGAAAUCUUCAAGGGUUCUACCUUUACGAAUUGUAGUUUAAAGAAGUGUUAUCUGUUGGAGUUUCAGUGAAAGUUCUUUGGAAUAGGACAUCAUAGAGGGUGAGAAUCCCGUAUUUGACCAUGUACUUUCCAGCUGUGUGAUACACUUUCAAAGAGUCGGAUUGUUUGGGAAUGCAGUCCAAAAUGGGUGGUAAAUUUCAUCUAAAGCUAAAUAUUGGCGAGAGACCGAUAGCGAACAAGUACCGUGAGGGAAAGAUGAAAAGAACUUUGAAAAGAGAGUUAAACAGUACGUGAAAUUGUCAAAAGGGAAGCGUUUGACACCAGUGUUGUUUUCUCGAAAAUCAAUUACAAAUGACUGGAUUUUGUGUUGUAUUGACCUUAUCAGCUUUCUGCACUCUUUUCUAGUCUUUCUUAACUGCACUUUUCGUUUAACAAGUCAACAUCAAUUUCUUUUGUUGUAAAAGAGUAUUCGGAAGGUGGCUUUCUUUUCGGAGAAAGUGUUUAUAGCCCUAUACUUCUAGCAAUCGGAGAGAUUGAGGUCUGCAGCGUAGAUCCUUCGGGGUUAGAUACAUUUGUGCUAAGUUAUAGCCUUUCAUAGACAACUUGUCGACUAUGAUUAGUCAUGUCGGCUUACUCGCUUAUGCUAUUUUACCUACGCUUAGGAUGUUGACUGAUAUGUAGUCGUA
rnacentral:rRNA from 1 species